rnacentral:rRNA from 1 species
AUUGAACGCUGGUGGCAGGCCUAACACAUGCAAGUCGAGCGGAUGAAGGGAGCUUGCUCCUGGAUUCAGCGGCGGACGGGUGAGUAAUGCCUAGGAAUCUGCCUGGUAGUGGGGGACAACGUUUCGAAAGGAACGCUAAUACCGCAUACGUCCUACGGGAGAAAGCAGGGGACCUCCGGGCCUUGCGCUAUCAGAUGAGCCUAGGUCGGAUUAGCUAGUUGGUGGGGUGAAGGCUCACCAAGGCGACGAUCCGUAACUGGUCUGAGAGGAUGAUCAGUCACACUGGAACUGAGACACGGUCCAGACUCCUACGGGAGGCAGCAGUGGGGAAUAUUGGACAAUGGGCGAAAGCCUGAUCCAGCCAUGCCGCGUGUGUGAAGAAGGUCUUCGGAUUGUAAAGCACUUUAAGUUGGGAGGAAGGGUUGUAGAUUAAUACUCUGCAAUUUUGACGUUACCGACAGAAUAAGCACCGGCUAACUCUGUGCCAGCAGCCGCCGUAA